AUUGAACGCUGGCGGCAUGCCUUACACAUGCAAGUCGAACGGCAGCACGGGUGCUUGCACCUGGUGGCGAGUGGCGAACGGGUGAGUAAUACAUCGGAACAUGUCCUGUAGUGGGGGAUAGCCCGGCGAAAGCCGGAUUAAUACCGCAUACGAUCUACGGAUGAAAGCGGGGGCCCUUCGGGCCUCGCGCUAUAGGGUUGGCCUAUGGCUGAUUAGCUAGUUGGUGGGGUAAAGGCCUACCAAGGCGACGAUCAGUAGCUGGUCUGAGAGGACGACCAGCCACACUGGGACUGAGACACGGCCCAGACUCCUACGGGAGGCAGCAGUGGGGAAUUUUGGACAAUGGGCGAAAGCCUGAUCCAGCAAUGCCGCGUGUGUGAAGAAGGCCUUCGGGUUGUAAAGCACUUUUGUCCGGAAAGAAAUCCUUGGCCCUAAUACGGUCGGGGGAUGACGGUACCGGAAGAAUAAGCACCGGCUAACUACGUG
rnacentral:rRNA from 1 species